GACGAACGCUGGCGGCGUGCUUAACACAUGCAAGUCGAACGAAGUGGCGAACGGGUGAGUAACGCGGAAUCAACCUGCCCUUCAGAGGGGGACAACAGGUGAAAACGACUGCUAAUACCGCAUAACGUAGGAGGGGAUUGCGUCUGAUUAGCUAGUUGGAGGGGUAACGCCCCACCAAGGCGAUGAUCAGUAGCCGGUCGGAGAGGAUGAACGGCCCCAUUGGGACUGAGACACGGCCCAGACUCCUACGGGAGGCAGCAGGGGGGAAUCGUCCGCAAUGGACGAAAGUCUGACGGAGCAACGCCGCGUGAGUGAUGACGGCCUUCGGGUUGUAAAGCUCUGUUAUUCGGGACGCGGUACCGGAAUAGAAAGCCACGGCUAACUACGUGCCAGCCGCCGCGGUAAUUC
rnacentral:rRNA from 1 species